AAUGAACGUUGGCGGCGUGGAUUAGGCAUGCAAGUCGAGCGCGAUGAGUUUGGUAGCUUGCUAUUGAACUCGGAAAGCGGCGAAAGGGAGAGUAACGCGUAGUUACGUGCCCCAGGGUUCGGAAUAGCCACGGGAAACUGUGGGUAAUGCCGAAUAACAUCUCCGGAUCAAAGGUGUGAUUCCGCCCUGGGAGCGGACUGCGUCCUACUAGCUAGUUGGCGGGGUAAUGGCCCACCAAGGCAACAAUGGGUAGCGGGUGUGAGAGCACGACCCGUCUCACUGGGACUGAGACACUGCUCAGACACCUACGGGUGGCUGCAGUCGAGAAUCUUCGGCAAUGGGCGAAAGCCCGACCGGGCGACGCCGCGUGCGGGAUGAAGGCCCUCGGGUUGUAAACCGCUGUCGUAGGGGAGGAAGGCUCUGUGAAGAACAGGGUUUGACCUAUCCUAGGAGGAAGUACGGGCUAAGUUCGUGCCAGCCGCCGCAGUAAAAA
rnacentral:rRNA from 1 species